AUUAAAACACGCAUGUAAAAAUGUUAAAUAAAGGGCUCUGUCUUUAUAUAGGCUUGUCUUUUAAAGUGUUUAUUCCUCUACAAAACUUAAUAUAACUUCCACUUGUAUGUGUUAAAAAACAGGCAAAGAAGCAGCCGCCUUAUCUCUGAUCUACUGGUUUACAGAGGCUGUUUUUGCUGACAGCUGCUCUGCUGCAAAAGCCUGCUGUCCUUACUAAAAAAUGACCAGUGCUAGCCUAAACCUAGGGAAAAACUUUCUGUGUUUUUAAGCCUGGGUUGUUUCUGCGGAUUUGCAUGUUAUUGAAACACCUGUGCCUGAGAGGCUAAAUGAAGGUUAUGGGUCUUCAGGAUUGGUUCAGGAAAAUGAAUUCUAUGACGCUGCUGUAAAACCACCUCUGAUUGGGCCGAUCCAAAGGAAUUGAUAACAAGUGUGAGAGGGUCUGAACCAGAAAAGUUGCCUCAUUCUACAGAAAGACUUCAAAGGGUUAAACCAGAAAAGCUGCCUCGUUUUACAAAAAGACUGC